GGAGAGGUGGCCGAGUGGUCGAUGGCGCCUGACUUGAAAUCAGGUAACCCAGCAAUGGGUUCGUGGGUUCGAAUCCCACCCUCUCCGCCA
rnacentral:tRNA from 1 species